GCGCACCCGCCAGGCGCGCCUGUGCGCGGAGCCCGCUCGGACAGCGAGGGCGGUGAGGACAGGCGCCGCGGCCCGCCUCGCCCUACCUGGGGACACCUGGAGACCGCGCAGGUCGGACGCAGGCCGUUCAGGGCUUGGUGUGCGUGGACGGUGGGCAGGGCGCCAGCUUGCUUCGGUCUUUGGGAAGGGCUCGGGGUCUACCCCGGGGGAAGUCGGCCGAGCUUCGCCUUCAGGCUUACCCGAGGUUUGAACACGGGGAUUUGUCUGGCGGGCCGUGUCGCGCGCGGUCCGGGGGUCCGAGGGCCCGGGGACUGGCCGGGCCCCCAGGGCUUGCGAGCGCUCGCCUGGGCUUACCCGCGCCCCCAGCGCCGCCCCCCUCUCCCCGCCGCACCCCCCGGGAACCACGUGCGGCUGCCGCCCGCCACUCUGCCUGCCAAGCGGAGCCCGCCCCCAGGGCAGGGGAGGGGACGCGCGGGCGGGGUGGGCUGUGCCCCGCGGGAACCCGGCUGGCCCGCGCGCCCUCCGGUGCCAGCUCGGCUCGCUCCGCCUGGCGCUCCCACGGGCUCCCGGGAGGUCGCGGACGGCGCGGCGGGAGGCGCAGAGCCUGCCCCAGGGGCCGAGAGAAAGGCAGCGGAGACGGCCACUGUCCAGGCGAGUAGCCCCGGAGGGGGCCUCUCUCAAGGGGGCGCCGAGCGCCUGGGAACCCUUUCCCCGGGCGCCUUAGCCUUUGGACGGCCUUUAGCCGUUGGAGGCAGCAGGGCAGCGCCGGCCCUCGGGGACCUGGCCUGGGACCAUUUCCCAAACCCGUCCUCCGAUUUUUGCGCGUCAGGAGCCAGCCCCCGGCUGCGCCCGCCAGGCAGGAGGCAGGAGGCAGGAGGCAGGACUCGGGCGCACCUCCGGGGCGUCGUGGAGCUGCGGCGCCCAGCGAAGCCGCUUUCCGAGCUCUGGGGCUUUGGGAGAGACAAGCUCAAGGCAAGGACGUUUGGAGAGCUGCCGUGGAGCUGGGGCUUGGAGGAGUGAGAGAAUUGAAGGGGCAGCUGGUCAACACGACAGCGACCUGGAGCAAGGGAGUCAGAAGACAGUUGUAGCAAGCAAGACGGACCUUCCGAGGGGCUGACUUGGGUCGCUGAGGGCAGGCUCCUGCCACGCAAGCUGUUGCAGCCCUGUGAUGGUGAGGUCCUCCACCCAGGGGAGCGAGUGGGGCUGUGCAAGGGGGCUGCCUGCCUGUUUCCUGUCUCUGCUCAUCCUGUCCACACUGCUGGGGAACACACUGGUCUGUGCCGCUGUCAUCAGGUUCCGACACCUGCGGUCCAAGGUGACCAACUUCUUUGUCAUCUCCUUGGCCGUGUCAGAUCUCUUGGUGGCCGUCUUGGUCAUGCCCUGGAAAGCGGUGGCAGAGAUCGCUGGCUUCUGGCCCUUUGGGUCCUUCUGUAACAUCUGGGUGGCCUUUGACAUCAUGUGCUCCACUGCGUCCAUCCUCAACCUCUGUGUGAUUAGCGUGGACAGGUAUUGGGCCAUCUCUAGUCCCUUCCGGUAUGAGAGGAAGAUGACCCCCAAGGCAGCCUUCAUUCUGAUCAGCGUGGCGUGGACCUUGUCUGUACUUAUCUCCUUCAUCCCAGUGCAGCUCAGCUGGCACAAGGCAAAACCCACAAGUUCCUCCGAUGGGAAUGCCACUUCCCUGGGUGAGACCAUGGACAACUGUGAUUCCAGCUUAAGCAGGACAUAUGCCAUUUCAUCCUCCCUAAUAAGCUUUUAUAUCCCCGUGGCCAUCAUGAUUGUCACCUACACCAGGAUCUAUAGGAUCGCCCAGAAACAAAUACGGCGCAUUUCGGCCUUAGAGAGGGCAGCAGUUCAUGCCAAGAAUUGCCAGACCACUACAGGUAAUGGAAACCCUGUGGAGUGUUCUCAACCAGAAAGCUCCUUUAAGAUGUCCUUCAAGAGAGAGACUAAAGUUCUGAAGACUCUGUCUGUGAUCAUGGGGGUAUUUGUGUGCUGCUGGCUUCCUUUCUUCAUCUUGAACUGCAUGGUGCCCUUCUGUGGGUCUGGGGAGACCAAGCCCUUCUGCAUUGAUUCCAUCACCUUUGAUGUGUUUGUGUGGUUUGGGUGGGCUAAUUCCUCCUUGAACCCCAUCAUUUAUGCCUUUAAUGCUGAUUUUCGGAAGGCAUUUUCAACCCUCUUAGGAUGCUACAGACUUUGCCCUACAACGAAUAAUGCCAUAGAGACGGUUAGCAUCAAUAACAAUGGGGCCGUGGUGUUUUCCAGCCAUCACGAGCCUCGAGGCUCCAUUUCCAAGGACUGCAAUCUGGUUUAUCUGAUCCCACAUGCAGUGGGCUCCUCCGAGGACCUCAAGAAGGAGGAGGCAGGUGGAAUGGCCAGACCCUUGGAGAAGCUGUCCCCGGCCUUGUCUGUCAUAUUGGACUAUGAUACUGAUGUCUCUCUAGAGAAGAUCCAGCCCGUCACACAAAAUGGACAGCAUCCAACCUGAACCCUGAGAUGAAUCCUGCCAGACAGGCUUAUCCCAAAAGCUGGAGGAGAUUUUCAGUGGCUUGCUGUUAAGAAACUAAGGUGUGGUGAGACUCAGAUGUCAGGCAAGCCCUCCUCUCUCUCUGCUGCUUCCCUUCAGCUACUCCCUUCAACAACUAACUAUAUUUUAAAAUCCAUUCCAGUGUGUUUUCUGUGUUGUUCAUAGUGAAUCAAAGAGACAUAUGUGAAGUGAACGUUCACAGGGACGUGUCUUAGGCUCCAAAAUUAUUUUUAGAAACUGAUUCUUAUCUUAGGACUCAAAAAAUAGGGCACAGAAUCAACAAUGAACAACAUCGCUUAAAAAAUAAAUCCUUUCCAGGAAGGAAAUGAGAAGGGUUG
rnacentral:lncRNA from 12 species